AUUGAACGCUGGCGGCAUGCCUUACACAUGCAAGUCGAACGGCAGCACGGGAGCAAUCCUGGUGGCGAGUGGCGAACGGGUGAGUAAUACAUCGGAACGUGCCCAAUCGUGGGGGACAACGUAGCGAAAGCUACGCUAAUACCGCAUACGAUCUACGGAUGAAAGCAGGGGAUCGCAAGACCUCGCGCGAAUGGAGCGGCCGAUGGCAGAUUAGGUAGUUGGUGAGGUAAAGGCUCACCAAGCCUGCGAUCUGUAGCUGGUCUGAGAGGACGAACAGACACAAGGGGACUGAGCAACGGGCCAGACCCCUCCGGGAGGCAGCAGUGGGGAAUUUUGGACAAUGGGCGCAAGCCUGAUCCAGCAAUGCCGCGUGCAGGAUGAAGGCGUUCGGGUUGUAACCUGCUUUUGUACGGAACGAAACGGUCCUUACUAAUACAAGGGGCUAAUGACGGUACCGUAAGAAUAAGCACCGGCUAACUACGUGCCAGCCGCCGCCGUAA
rnacentral:rRNA from 1 species